rnacentral:rRNA from 1 species
AAUGAGUUUGAUUCUGGCUCAGGCUUAACGUUAUUAGGGUAUAUUCGAUAUGCUAAUCAAACGUUUUCAAAAAAUGUGGUGUACUUGAGAGUAAUG